UGAAAUCAGACAACAAAAUGUUCACUACGUCGUGGAUGUGAGGUGGUUUCUGUAGGACGUGUAGGGCGCCAAAGAAAUACUCGGCGUUUUGCUUGACAGUAUAUUAUUAACACGUUUAAUGACUUCGUUACAAGUCUCGACUCGCGACUUGUGCGGGCGACAAUUUAUUCACAAUUCUCGUUUUCGACUCUUUACGUACGACUCUCGAUUUCGACUGACCAGUCUCGCUUCCCGGUCACAACUCAACUGUUCCGUUGAUCCGAUUCGUUCCUUUUUUGCCACCUCUCAAUAUCCCCACACACACGCGUUCGUUCCAACUAUUCGUGGAAGGACCGUAGAAUUAUUGAUGGCUCAUUAGGCCUGUCGACACUUCGUCGUGAUCUUACUUAUGUUUCGUCGGUCUUUCGAAAACAGUCUGUCGACGAUGGUAUACUUUGACCGACGGAACCGUUGGAAAGUUCUUUGUUGUCGAGUGCCACUACAGAUUAUUAGAGCGCGGACGUAGAAUCAGCCGUAUAUACGCGUAUACUUUUCUGCAAAAAUCCGACAAGACUAACUUCAAUCAGAAACGUGACAUUGUCGGAACGAGAUUGCGUCUCCUCUUUCGGCGUGUCCGUUUUCGGUCUCGGGGAUUCUCCUAACGAUCAGUUUUCGAGCUUUCCACUUCCAACAGAUUGGCUCGCUUCUGAUUCGCAAUAAAGUACCAGUGGAAUCUUAUUUUUCGCGAUCCUGCAUUAUCGAUGGAGCGAUCAACUGUUUUUCGAGAGACCGAAUCGGUUCGACAUUCUCGCGAUGCGCCAUUACAUUGUCUACGUCCCUCGCGAAACAUUCGUCGAGAGCAUCUCGUAAAAUUAACUGGAUCACUGAAUAUUCUUCAGCCGGAGAUCGGGACGAUAUUCUUUAGUAAUUUUUAUUGGAACGAUCGGCACGAUGUGACGUAGCUUGGCGCGGUGCGGCCUAUCGAUUGAAAGCAACCGCGCGGAGAGGAUCGAUCACGCGGAACCUCCGACAUAGUACAUAGUAGGUGGAAGCAAACAGGAAUACCGAAGGAGACACGACUCACGGUAUCGGUGGUUCAUCUGUCUCAGAUUAAACCAGCUGCUACGUUGCCGAGCUACCGUCGCUCGAAUACCAUUGGUUACAGUUAUAUACAACCUGUAAUCGAAUAUAUCGGAGAUACCGAGAUUGUCGUUGCUGUUAGCUCUGUAAGCAGCAGGCUAACAUGUUUUCGCUUUCCCGCGAUAAAGAAGAAGAUUCGGUAAUUUGUGUUGAGGUUUUUACGUAUUUCGGAAUAGAAAGAGCAAAUGCGUGGAUGAAUGUGUUAUAGAAAUUCUUUAUUCAGGAACGUUAGAAAUUAGGAUUUCCAGUGGUUUCUAUCCUAUGUGAUAAUGUAUUGAUAGAUGGAUCUAUUACAGUGGAUUAAACAGAAAACGAUGAUUAUUUAACGUGAAUGCAGUAGUGUGAUAUAACUUUCGAUUAACGACUAUUCACUCUUGACUCUCCGACGGCUAACUGAACAUCAACUGCUGCGGUGCCGAAAUAUAUUGAUGGCCGUUAGACCUGUUGAAGUUUUCCGAUCCUUUCGGUUUGUCGGCAUUUGCGCUUUAUCGUCGACAUUGUCUGUAUGUCGGCAAUCUUUUCGCGGUACUAUAAUACAGACGAAAGAAGUUGCUAUAAUGAGAAUCGUUGUGCCAAAACAUUAGAGUUUUCCUAGAAGUGAGAUCCACAACAAUUUGUAAAAGAGCACGAACAGAUAAAAGAUAGCGAAGACAAUGAUGGCGGAGGGGAAAGUUGAUGGAGUUAGGUAGUUGUCGGAUAGUACGGAGGAAAGUGGAAACUAAAUUGGGUAUUACGCAUAGCGGCUACGUUAUCACGGAAGGCUGGCAGUCGGCCGGAUAUCGAGUGUCAAUAUCCAAAGGAUGUUGGCGCAAUAUCGGAUGAACGGUUCUGAAACACGGCCACCCUAUCUCGGACAUGCCACGGCAUUAAUAUUCCGAGCAAGUUACGAUGCAACCAUCUUCUUGUUUUCAUCGUUGAUAGGAAUACUCGCGCUACGCGACACGAACUUGCGCCAUUUUCUCCACCAAAAUCACGUUCUCAAUUCAAUUUCACAUUGUUGAAGUUGACUGACAGAGGAUGAACUUGUAAUAGGAAAAUAUAUUGAAGUAAGUAUAAGUACAGGUAUAGUGUAUGAGGUUAAAAUCAAAUAAAUUGUUAUUAUUAUUUAUUAAUUUAAUGUAUGAUAUUGUUGAGGUUAACUGAUGGAGGAACGAGUGGAUGAAUUUAUUAUUAGAAAAAUAUAUUGAAAUAAAUAAAGCUAUACGUGUAAGUACAGGUAUAGUGUAUGAGGUGAAAAUCAAAUAAAUUGUUAUUAUUAUUUAUUAAUUUAAUGUAUGAUAUUGUUGAGGUUAACUGAUAGAGGAACGAAUGGAUGAAUUUAUUAUUAGAAAAAUAUAUUGAAGUAAGUAUAAGUACAGCUACAAUGUAUGAGGUGAAAAUCAAAUAAAUUGUUAUCAUUAUUUAUUACUUUAAUAUACGAUAUUGUUGAGGUUAACUGAUAGAGGAACGAGUGGAUGAAUUUAUUAUUAGAAAAAUAUAUUGAAAUAAAUAAAGCUAUACAUGUAAGUACAGGUAUAGUGUAUGAGGUGAAAAUCAAAUAAAUUGUUAUCAUUAUUUAUUAAUUUAAUAUAUAAUAUUGUUGAGGUUAACUGAUAGAGGAACGAGCGGAUGAAUUUAUUAUUAGAAAAAUAUAUUGAAAUAAAUAAAGUUAUAUGUGUAAGUACAGGUAUAGUGUAUGAGGUGAAAAUCAAAUAAACUGUUAUCAUUAUUUAUUAAUUUAAUGUAUGAUAUUGUUGAGGUUAACUGAUAGAGGAACGAGUGGAUGAACUUGUAAUAGAAAAAUAUAUUGAAGUUAACUGAUAGAGGAACGAGUGGAUGAAUUUAUUAUUAGAAAAAUAUAUUGAAAUAAAUAAAGAUAUAAAUGUAUGUAUAAUAUAUGCUGAUCCAGACCCUCAUUCUUACAGUGUUACAAUACAAUAGAAGCUAUGAUAGGGAGCACGUUCAUAUAUCAUAUAUACAAAAGACAUUAGCAAAAAGAUAAAUUUGUAGCUAUAGCUGAAGGCUACAAGAAACAGCAAUAGAAACCUACUUAUAGCUCUUUUGUUUCUACACCUUGUAAUCCAAAACACAAUUUAUAUUCAAGGGCACAAUAAUAUGCACCUCUCCUUAUUUAGAGUAUCUUUUGUUUCACUAAAUUCUAUUCUCUUCGUAACAGCGGUCUCCAGGUGACGGGUAUACAAAAGGAAAAUUGUAGUUUUUUUCUUGAAGUAAUUACUACAACACGAUUGAAUAUCGCAGGAGAUAUGCUACACAAUUUGUCUCUUUCCAAUUAUUCGACACGCGGCAGACCGUCGCAAAGUGAGUGGCCAACUCGGCUACAGGCAAAACAUUGGAUACAUUUUCCUGAACACGUACCUUCGACUAAUAAAAAGGAACAUCUUGCAAAGAGAUGCCACGUGUGUGUAAAAAAUAGUAUAAGAAGCGAAACAACUUGACAGUGUAAAAAAUGUCUAGUUCCUCUACAUAUUCAAAAAUGUUUUCAAACGUAUCAUACUUCACAGAAUUAUUCAUUUAUUAUUUUAUAAUGUUACUUAACUACUGUCCAUUAACGUUAUAUACCAACCUGAUUAAAUAUUAUACAACGAUGUAAAUUUCGAAAUAAAAUAUCCUGUUUCUAAGCUUGCAUUAUAACUGUUCAGUUGAGCCAAAUUAAAUAGUAUUCUUCGCACGUAUCUAAUUCCAGUUUAUUUGUACGUCAAGGGGUCAAUAUAUUCGCAUAACAUUUAACAUAUUUAACUCUACCAAACAACACCUGAUAAAAGAUAUAAUCAACGUCUAAAGAUCCUGUAGCGACACAUGAGCCAACGGAAGAUUAGAAUCGGCAGAGACUCAUAUUCUUGUGUUUUGGAACACCAACGUUGUUUUGGUUCGUUAGUUUCGAAAGUAAAUAAACUCCGGGCAGAAUAUUAUCGCCGUUAUUUCUAACCGUCAACCGGAGUCACAUUCAAACUUUUCAUAACACCAUCGGUCGAUACAAAUAGACGAACGUGCCCUCUAGGACGUUCACACAGUCACACAGUCGAAUAGCGAGCGUAGAGUCGAACAGUAGCGUCGAGCGAGCGACGAUUGCAACCGGUAUACACUAUCCUUGUACUUGUAUUUAAAGUAAUUUUAAUAUACACUGAUUAUUACAAUUUGAUCACUCGCGUCUCUUUAAUAAAGCAACACGUAUAAUAAUCCAUCUCAAUCCUAGCGAUCAUUAACGUUUGCAGACGCGAAGAAGAAUUAGAAAAAGUGAAAUAGCUUCGAUACAAAGUGAGUAAGAACAGUUUGUAAUGUUUCACGACGAUACAUACGAUGCAUACGUCGAUAUGAAUUGGCAUAUGUUAUUUUGCAUGUAGUAUACAAAAUGCUCGAUUAUGCACGGUGUUUCCAGAACUUUUGCACGCUUGAAAAUAUGAAAAUUUCAAGGUACGUAUAACUAUGAGCCGAGCGAAACUGUCGUAAAUCUUGCAGCCAACCAUUAUUUUAGCCCAAUUUCCAUAAAAAAUACUUAUCUCGUGGCGACCUUCUGUCGCUGCCGCUUUAGUUCUGCCGCUCACGUACGUAUGUAUAUAUUAUAUAUGCGAAUAAUCAUUAAGGAAAGUAAAAUAUGCCAAGCUAAAAAGCGCUUAAACGCUGGCGUUGAGUUUUAAUGAGAAAAUCUCGUGAAAAAUGAGAACUGUCUUUUGCAAGGAUCGUGUCGUAAAUAUCCGCCCGGCGAUGCUACGGUGUUCUUCCGCUCUCAUUAAUGUUGAAGAAAUUCCGUGCAACUUGCGAUUUUCAGUUGACAUACAGAGACGCGAAUGAAUGUUCAAAGUGAAGUCUUUGAGCAGCUUCGUUCGACGUUUGCAUCGCCAACUGGAUACACGCGAUCGUAGGAAUCUGGAUGAGCGCUUCGAUUUAACGAGGACCUGUUUCUCCAAUUUCUGUCAACUACCUCAGGCUGGUCGCUUAACUUACCUCGAUUAAAAGCUUUCGAGGGAAAAUUUCCGAAUUACGUAUUUUUUGGAAAUAAAAAAAAAGCAUAAUCGAAACGCGUGUUUUCUUUCGUCUUCGUUUCGGGAAAUACAUAUUCGAUGGUCAAAUUGUCACGAUGAAAUAAUUCUGCGACAUUGUGUGCGUUGAAGCGGAGGAAAGGGAAAGUUGGAAAUAAAAUUAUGCGAGAAGCGUGGGAAAUUUUACGAGAAUAUUUCAAGUUAUGGCCUGGAUUCCCAAAACGUUUUCGAUAAGAUUUAGUGUGCUUUUCAAGCGAAAUUUAACAUCGAGGAGAAAAGCAAGCGUGUGUUUUUCUUCCACCGUGUUUAUCAUGACUAUGGAAAAUCGAUAGAAAAGAAGAAUAACCUAUUAUCCUUGACCCGUGAUCGAUCGCAGCUCGCAUAGAUGAAAAUUAGACGAGUUCGAUACGCAGUACAUUAUCACAGUGACAUGUUGAAACAACGAAGGAGGCCGUUAUCGAUCUUUCCGUGAAAGGUCAGCGAAUCCCUUCUUCGUCUACGAACAGACAUCCAAAUUUCCCCCAACGCAACAUCUAUUUGUCAUCGGCGGAGCUUAUACCAACCAUAUGCUUCGCCGUUUCAACAUUAAAUUCUCAUUACGAUCUAGUUGAUUCACGUUCUACAACUACACGAAUAACGCACGAUUGUUACUUUACCGACGGUGAACGAUGAUGGUUAUUAAGCGCAAAAGGCAAUAUGGAAGACGUCAACUAUUCUUCCUCGUCCUUUUGUAUUAUUCAUCUUGUACAUAAUUCAAUGAAAAUAGAGAACUUUCCUUCACGCGUCGUGGCCUUCGACGCACCUGAAUUAUUCAACAUUUUUGCAUGAAUAAACAAACCAUUGUGAAAAUAUCUUCUAAUUUACUGAACGUGGCGGAUUAAUUGUUGAAUAUAUACAGCGAAUGACGUGAAGUUAGAGACGCGAGAUGUGCAAUAUUAUGCAAAUUAGGUUAUGCGAGACAACCAAUCCGUAUCAAUGUACGUAGAUACAGGGUGGUUGGUAACUGGUGGUACAAACGGAAAGGGGGUGAUUUUACGCGAAAAAAGAAGUCAAAAAAAUAAAAAAAAAAAGUUUUUUUUUUUUUUUUUUUUUUUUUUUAAUUUUUCCAUCGAGACAACGAUCUACAGUGGGAUACGUUACAACGAGACGUGAUAAAGAGACGCGUACCGAGCGGAAAUUCAAAGUCGAUUUUCUCGAAAACAAAGCCUCAAACGGAAAAUUUUUAUUCUAUAUUUUCGACUUCUUUUUUCGCGUAGAAUCACCCCCUUUCCGCUUGUACCACCAGUUGCCAACUCAAUAAAUGCGUAUUAUUCGAUGUAAAUGGGAACGAGUAUCGUUUAGUGAUUCCGGUAAUUUGUGUGCUGAGUUCGACGAUCGCGCGUAUCGUCUUUCGUGAUUUCAAAGCACGGCAUUGAUAAGUCGAUAAUGCUCGAUACAUCGAACGGAUCGUGUAACUUUUCAAAGUUUCGGAGAAACUUGAAACUGAUCAUCUCGAGCGCUUCUUACGGAAAAGGAAGGAACGAAAGAAGAAAGAAGAGCAGUGUCAUACAAGAACAACUGCAACUGGAAAACGACGUCAAAGGGGAGGGAAGUUCUGCGAAUUAUUUUCUCUCUUUUUUUUUUUUUAUUUUUGUACGUCGGAUCCACUCGCGAGGUGGUACAGGCUCGUUGACGCGUAACCUAUACAUUUCAGUAAGCUGGAAAAUCGCGAGAAAAUGGCCGGUUAAAUUUAAAGGAAAACUCAACUUUUGUAUGUUUUUGUUAGAACGGUAACGUUAAAAACAGCUGGUUUUGGGAAACGUUCGACGAAAGUGACGGAGAAGAAUAAUUGAAGCGGUGGUUGGAGAAGGUGCUCCAAAUGUUUCGAAUAAAUAUUGAACGAAAAAAGUAUUUCAUUUACACAGAACGUAUCUUUCGAUAUACAAUCGGUAGCGGAUUUAUCAAAGUUUAGCUAUUGACACGGUUUUUUUAACGAUCCACUGUACGCGAGAAUAACCAGACAGGAAAAAGCAUUGUAAACGGAAGUGAAAUAAAACUAUACAAAUAUGUGUACGUGUCUCGUACGCGCAAUAUAAAUCCGUCGCAUGAAAACCGCGACACUUGGCCAAACGUUAGGCGAUCAAUCUCUACUAUUACAUUUGUAUCGAUAAGAAAUAACGAGCGAUCGUAAUCUCUCAAGUUCUUAGACUGUAUAUCUCGUAAAUGAACGCGGCUAGAAAGAAGAAACAUUUUCUCUGAGAAAACCUUUUUUGGAUCGUACUUGGAAGCAACCAAUUCUAAACAUUCGUAUUAUGGAAAGGAUGCAAUGCUUCCAGGUACUGAAGCUUUUAUCGAAAAAAUUGAUCUAUCAUAUUCUACAUACGUCAGCCUACAAAAGACGUCUUUCAAGGAUAAAUCGUAUGUGUUGAGAAUUGUGGAUCCUAAUCGCCGAAAUAAUUGUAUAGGGACACUUAGAUUACACUUAGAAUUAAUAUCAAAAUAGUUUCAGACUUAUUUGAUGUGUGAUUGACAAGAUGUUCGUCGAUACACAUUUGCACGCAUUUUAGCGCUCUCUUUGUCUCGCCAUCUUGUAUACCACACUACCAACGGAACAGUUGCAUUCAUCUGUUUUACGAGACGCUGUGUAUCAUACUCAUAUAUGUGUGUCACUACUACGGCUAAUCUAGCGUAGCACACAAAAUUACACAUAUCUCAAUAAUAACUUUAAAAUUUGAGAGUUUUCAUAUAAACAAAGACGAACAAAAUUUCUAACACGAUAAAACGAAAUAUUGGAUUGACAACUAAUUGAUUGCGGAUUUUGACAAUACCACCUAAUAACAAAAUCCGUAAACAUUUAGUUGCCAACCCAAUAGUCGCAGCGACAGAAGGAACCAACUUUGCUCCAGCUAUUCAAAUAUUUCUUUUUAAGAUUCAUAAAUGUUGAGAAUUGUGGAUCUUAAUCGCCGAAAUAAAUGUAUAGGAACACUUGGAUUACACUUAGAAUUAAUAUCAAAAUAGUUUCAGACUUAUUUGAUGUGUGAUUGACAAGAUAUUCGUCGAUACACAUUUGCACGCAUUUUAGCGCUCUCUUUGUCUCGCCAUCUUGUAUACCACACUACCAACGGAACAGUUGCAUUCAUCUGUUUUACGAGACGCCGUGCACUCAUACUCAUAUAUGUGUGUCACUACUACGCGGCUGAUCUAGCGUAGCACACAAAAUUACACAUAUGUCAAUAGUAUCUCAAUAGUAUAAUAGUAAUUGGAAGAACAAACAAUUGCUCGGUUGUAUAAUUAAUUACUUUUUAAUAACGUAGAGACACGCCAUUUGAAGAAAUAUUCGAAAAGUAAAUGAAAGUAAAUUUAUCGUUCUCAUGCAACGCAAAUAGAUACAUAUGUAUGUGUAUGUAAGCGAAACACGCGAUUGCUUUGUAUCAGAGAUGCAUAUGUAUAUCGAUGUAUUGGGUUGGAAACUAAGUGAUUGCUGAUUUUGUCAUUACCACCUAAUGAUAAAAUCCGCAAUCACUUAGUUGUCAACCCAAUAUCUUAAGGAAUUGAGUAGAUCUACGAGAAGGAUGGCCUUGCGAUUAAAUUCACAAUUGGAAUGUUUAUGAAGGGGCGAAGGAUAUAAAAGGACUUGAGAGAAUGGAAAGAGAACGAGACACAGAAGCUAGUAAGAUAUUCCGUGGCAUUUUGAAUCAUUUUAUUAGAAGAAGCACAGCUAGGAAAUAAGGUUGGCGAGAGUGCAAUCUUAUAUGCUAUUUCGAAUAUGCAAUGCAACUCUCGUGCCGUACAUUUUCCAUCGUAUGCAGUAUGCAGAAUGCAAUAUGCAGUAUGCAGGCAAUUUUCGCGGCGAAAUUCCCAAGCUUAUUGCUACAAAAUACUUAUCGUGCAAAAACUUAUCGCGGUAGUUUCGUAAAUUUUCACAUCAAAAGAAACGGAUAAAAUGGAUGUUAAAAUACCGGCAACAACUUUCGACGUUGUGAGCCACUAGCUAACAUCAAUUUAAACCUAGCAACAUAACAGCAAAGGAGAACUUAAAAAGGAAGAGUUUGCAAAGAGUUUAGAGUAUAAAACGACGCAUAGAGGUCAUUGAGAUGCGAGCACCUGCGAGUUUAAAAUAAAAGCAGCCAGAGAUUAGAAGCAACUCCUGUUUCUCAGGCGAAAUUUUCUACGUUACUAGAUACGUGUCAAAAGGCUGCUUAAAGCAAAACAACUUUUGCAACUGUAUCAGUGUGUUCAUGAAAAGCAUUGAAAGGACUGUAAAAACUCGCUUUGAUACUUUACGUUGAAAAAAGAGAUCAACAAAAUAUGUUGUCGCUCCACAAGGAGUAAUUUGAAACCACGGAGUAUAAUAGUAGAAAAGGACACCCAAUAGUGUAUGCUCGUCAGCCUAGUCCUUCAAAGGGCGUUUUCGUCCAGAUAUCGAUGCAUACUAGCUAAUUCAAUCGUGAAACACUUUACGAGCUGUACAAAGUGUUCUCAGGACGCUACAACACCAUCUAUUAUCUAUCAGUGGUUCUUCCAUUGCAAAUACAAUACCUCCAUUAAAUAAUUCUAACAUUAUGCGAAAUAUACUUUAGAAAAUAUAUAUAUGUCCAUAUACACAAAUAAGUUACUUUUCAUAAAUAUUUGAAUCGUGUAUAAUAAGUAUGUUCUAUGUAUAAAUGUUACAUAACGAAAUGUGUUUUAUAUGUGAAAGGAAUUACAAGAUAUAACGGAACAAUAUAAAAGCAAAUAAAUAAUACAAGGGACCAUUAAUUUGUUGUUUAAUUCCGAUAAAUACCGCAAGCAAUCGAAUGCAAUAUCGUGCCAAUGUCAAUACGAUUAAGAACCACUGGUCUACAUAGGAGCUGCGUCGAACUGAACAUAAAGAGGCAGACAGACAGAGACAGAGACAGAGAGAGAGAGAGAACGCGAUCGAUAAGAAGUCGAUGGCAAGUACAGCUUUCCUUUGGGAAAUCAAAGUCGAAAUUUAGGGAAGCUCGAUUUAUUAGUUUUUUAAGGCACAACACAACGGUUUAUGUUUCCUUGCCGAUUUAUUGGGUUGGAAACUAAGUGAUUGCGGAUUUUGUCAAUGGGUGGUAUUGACAAACCCGCAAUCAUUUAGUUGCCAACUUAAUAUUUGCACGAGUGUGAAUUGUCACUAGCCGAUGAAAGUACACGAUAGCCUUGUAAAAAUCAAAAUAUGACGAUUCUAAAUUGAAAUAGAAUAUUACGAUGCUGAUCAAAAAUUUGUUCUGUAGUGGUUUGUUGUGUCUAGUGUUACAGAGCCAUAAAUUAGCGAUAGAAAAACCAAGGGCGUCUAACGAACGUCCCGCAGGCCAUCGAAACAACAACAUAGAGAGAGUGUUCCAGUGUGAGAAAACAGUAACAGUGGCCAUCUUUGAUCUGGGCCCCGGCGACACCCCCUCCAUAGGAGCCAAACCUAUAGUAUAUAAACAUUACUAAAAUCAGCUCUCGACAUUCUCUGUUCUAACUCUGAACGAAGACUAAAAAGAAAACACCUCACUGACUUCACUAAAGAAAUAAAAUAGUCAAACUCGAAGAUGGCAUCCCGCUGGAGGAUACAGUAGAUAGGAUGGAAAUCUAAUAAACAAAGCAGAAAAAAGCAAUGUAAGUUUUGUUGAUGUCUGAAGUAAUAAUACGCAGAAUGGUAAAUGAAGAGGAAUAUUUCAGAUAACCGUUUUCGCUAUCAACGGAAUUUCAUUGCUAAAUUAAGGAUCUCUUAAUUAGGGAAGAAUGGAAGGCAACGGAGCAUAAAGCUGUCGAGCAAGCACAAUUUCUCUGGGCGAUAUUAAAACGACGCCUAAUAUCCUGGACGGCUUGAUAUUAAGAGGAUGACGAAGGUGAAUCCCAAAGGAAAGCUGAAAUGGGGUGAAGAAAGGGAUCGUAAGCCGCUUACGGUUUCACGAUGUCACGAAACGAACGAGCCACCAACUGCUUGUCGUUUUAGCAGCACGCAUAAACCGCACUCUACGUGGCUAGGAUUUACAGACCUAGAAGGUUCCUGAAAUUAGACCAACUCGCGUAUAUGCCUUCCAUGAUGCACGGAUUAACUUGUUUUCCUACAAACAUAAAGUCCCUUCAAAUUGCCAAAGUUGGCAACUAAGUGAUUGCGGAUUUUGUCAAUAUCACCUAAUGACAAAAUCCGCAAUUACUUAGUUGCCAACCCAAUAUAUGCAUAUUACUCUGUUGCUUAAAUAAUUAUCAGUUUCAUUGUAAUUUCAGUAUGGUAUAUGGUUAAUUGAAUUACAAUUCAAUUGAUCUAACUAAAACGCUAAAACGGCUUGAUUAUAUAAAAUAAAUGCGAUCUUUUUUUGCAAAACUUUGCACUUGUUCUACUGUAGAUCUUUUUCAGAUUUUUCAUCAGCGAUGUUUCAACGUUUGGCUGUUACGUAAACUUGUUGCUGUUGCUUCAUCGUUCGUUGCAAAUUCUCCAACUCGUUAACUUUGGCACAAAAUUCUUGGCAUUUUGUCGAAAAGUUUCCAACUAAAUUUCACCUUACUACGAGCUAAUUUACAAAGGAUUUAACGAGGAUAUCUGAGUGCAUAUCCUUGUAUAAAGAUAAGUGCCCUUCCAUUAAAUUGAAAUGGUUCCAGUUGCAACUCAGAUCUUAGAAUCCCUUCAGUUGUUCUGCUUAUGGGAAUUUAUUUGCACCCGCCCAGCCGUCUCGCUAUAUUCUACAAGUAUUGGGUUGACCUUGGGGCCAACCCAAUGGACGUUUGCAUGGAUACAGGAAAAUAAGGAUGUGCAAAAUUUUGUAUCGGUGCGUGUCUUUUCUGGAAUAUUUUAGCUAAACCAAAAAUGAGCCAUUUUUCACGAAAAUGAACGGUUUUGAAAAUUCUGCCUUAUGAACAUUUGACAGACCAAGAUCUGAACUAUAGAAAUCUGCUUGAGACCGUGAUCAGGUGAUGGCAUUGGCAAUGCCAAUUUUCCUGCUUACCGCUUACUGGUCUGUUGAGAAUUUUGGAUCUUAAUGGCCGAAAUAAUGGUAUAGGAACACUAAAUUUACACUUAGAAUUCAUAUUAGAAUAGUUAUGUAUUUAUUUGAUAAGCGAUUUCAAAGAUAUUCAUCGAUACACACUUGCACGCAUCUCAGUACUUUCUUCCAUAUCCGACUGCUAACCGACUGAAGAGUUUACAUUUCUUUGUUUUGGAGAUGCGUAUAUAUACUUCCACACACUGAUAUUCACAUACAAGUAUUACUACUAUGCAGCUAACCUAGUCUAGCAUAUACAAUUAUACAUAUCACAAUAUGGUCUUUGUAUGAUUACGGUGAGACGAUCGGAAAAACAGAAAGUAAGUGAAAGUUAAUUCAGUAAUCAUGAUUCAGAUGCAUAUAAAACAAGCCACAUAGUAAGUUAAGAGUAGCGUGUUUUGAAAAAGGUAUCUUUCAAAUUCAUGAGGAUGUCACACAUCAACAGUUUUCACGUCCCAUUUCCGUAAAACACGACCCUCAUUUUUGGCUUCAGUGACCUGAAAAACGCCUAAUAAGAGUCAAAUAUUUUGCAAUCCGGAUACUAUACUGAGUCCGGAAAUAAUAAUAGAACGAGAUAAUAGGUAGUUUCAAGGGAAUAACCAUAAAACAUUUUAUUCGCUAAAACAAGCAGCAAACGAAAAAAAAAUGCGAGCGAUUAGUUGUAUUAAUUUUGAAUAAAAGAAGAUUUUCAAUAAUAAUCGAGAACAUUCUACUUGUACAAAAUCAUGUUCAAAAGCAUUCUUACUCGGCAAAAAUAUCUAUUUUCUUCCAUCUGUGAAGCAUAACUCAAAAUAUUAUUAGGUUGGUAACUAAGUAAUUGCUGAUUUUGUCAUUAGGUGGCAUUAACAAAACCCGCAAUCACUUAGUUACCAACCCAAUAUAUCGGUCUGCUUUUUUUCCAGCAUCCGUUACAAGUGAAAGUGAAAGUUGACGAAUCUAUGGCAUUAAAUUGUUAAUAAUAUUUGUUAGACGAUAAAUAAAGACAAUAUAAACGUGCGAACGAGAGAGAUUUUGUUCGAGGAAAAUCGGAAUUAAUUGCAGGAUUUGACAUUACCAUCGAGUUAUUCGAAGGAAAAAUGUUUCUUGUCGAAGGACUCUGCGUACCUACUAGAUCAUGUUACUUUGAAUAAUGCCUCUACUUUGUUUAUAGUCUUAUCAGCUUAUCUUUAGCUUGCUUCAUAAGCUCCUUUUCUUCUCCCAUUUUUCAAUAACAAUUUCCUAUCAGAUAGAUUCCAAGAUACCUAUAUAACUAUAUUUGUAUAGAGGAACCGAUUGAAUUAAUUAAAUUAAUAUAAUAAUAUAUAAUAAUAUAUAAUAUAAUAUAAUUAAACAUUAUAUUAUAAAUAGACAUUAUAUCGGAUAGAAUGGAGUGGAAACUUUUUGGCAAAACAUCUUUUCCCAUUGUUUGGCGCUACUUUUACUCCUCAUAUAGGACUAACAAAGGUUACAGUUGGUGGUAGCUAUAUCCAGGGACGAAUGCAUGAAACAGAUCCAGAGGGAAUAUGAAGUUCCUAAGAUUCAAUCUGCGAGGCUUCCAAGGGAUCAUUAAGAUCCCACGCGUAUGACAAAAUGGAGCAAGGAUUCUCGCUAGUAAGCCUCUUACUUUAUUCGGGAAUAAAAAUCGCGGUGGCAUUUCAAGGGAGAAGAUAGCGAAGAAGCAGGAUCUCUCCUUCUCGGGUUUUUAAAGCCAUUACUCUGCCUUUAUUCGUGGCGGUUUCGCGGGGAACUCGCUGCUACCAAAGGAAAGUGCUUCCUUCGACUAGCAGGGAAUUAGGGCUUUCAAGAAGCAAAAAGAAAGCAUAUCCUAGAUCAGAGAAUGAAAGAGGAGUUUUUGUGAUCGUGGUUACGCUUUUGUUGCCACUUUUCAAAUACCACAUCAGGAAAUUGCCUCUUAACCACCACUUCCAAGUAAGUUAAACUUAAUUUAGCUAAAGCUUCAAUGUUUCAGCAUAUGACUGUAGCUCGAACCGCACCUAAUUCUCUUUGACAACUAGCACAGUUAUUAACGUGUGGUGGAUGGUUAAAUGUGUUGCUUUAAAUGACGACACGAGCGAAUACUUGUAAUGGUCAAAUAUAUUUAAAAUCGUUCUAAGUACAGAGUACAGAGUUUGUUGAGAUAUGUAUAAUUUUCUGUGCUGGACUAGGUUAAAUGCGUAGUAGAGGUACUUGUAUGUGAAUAUCAGUGUGUGGAUGUAUGUGUGUCCGCAGCAUCUCGACAACAAAGGAAUGUAAACUCUUCAGUCGGUUAAGAGUCGGUUAACAGUCGGGUAUAGAAAAAAGUGCUGAGACGCGUGCAAGUGUGUAUCGAUGAAUAUAUAAGGAAUCAUUCAUGAAAUAAAUAUUUCAUUAUUUUAAUAUUAAUCGUCAGUAUAAAUUUUGUGUUUCUAUAACAUUAUUUCGGCUUCAAAGAUCCACAA